UACGUAGGGUGCGAGCGUUGUCCGGAAUUACUGAGCGUAAAGAGCUCGUAGGUGGUUUGUCGCGUUGUUCGUGAAAACCGGGGGCUUAACCCUCGGCGUGCGGGCGAUACGGGCAGACUUGAGUACUGCAGGGGAGACUGGAAUUCCUGGUGUAGCGGUGGAAUGCGCAGAUAUCAGGAGGAACACCGGUGGCGAAGGCGGGUCUCUGGGCAGUAACUGACGCUGAGGAGCGAAAGCGUGGGGAGCGAACAGG
rnacentral:rRNA from 1 species